rnacentral:rRNA from 1 species
GACGAACGCUGGCGGCGUGCUUAACACAUGCAAGUCGAACGGAAAGGCCCUGCUUGCAGGGUACUCGAGUGGCGAACGGGUGAGUAACACGUGGGUGAUCUGCCCUGCACUUCGGGAUAAGCCUGGGAAACUGGGUCUAAUACCGGAUAGGAGCCAUUUUUAGUGUGAUGGUUGGAAAGUUUUUUCGGUGUAGGAUGAGCUCGCGGCCUAUCAGCUUGUUGGUGGGGUAAUGGCCUACCAAGGCGGCGACGGGUAGCCGGCCUGAGAGGGUGGACGGCCACAUUGGGACUGAGAUACGGCCCAGACGCCGACGGGAGGCAGCAGUGGGGAAUAUUGCACAAUGGGCGCAAGCCUGAUGCAGCGACGCCGCGUGGGGGAGGACGGCCUUCGGGUUGUAAACUCCUUUCGCUAGGGACGAAGCUUUUUGUGACGGUACCUAGAUAAGAAGCACCGGCUAACUACGUG